GCUCUACCCCUUUUGUCCAUUUCAGUUAAUCACUGGUGUCCCUCCAAGUUCAUCUCCACCCUGGCAGCAUCUUCUGCUUGAAGAUUCUAGUAAGAACCAGCAGUCUCCCCAGGGCCUUUGACCACUCUCUGGAAAAAAACCAAGUAGACAACAUGGCCUCCCCCACACCACUGCCCACCAUCUCUUCUAUGCUGAAGAAGGAUCCCACAGGGCUAAGAAAACCUGGGAGCUGCCAUGAUGCCUAGAAGCCUUUAGAAUGUGGGUGCCCAAAAGACCAUCCUUCACAUAUGAAACCCUGUGAUCAUGACUCACAGUGACUGAGGGUUCCACUGAGGAGGCUUCUGGGACAGCUGAGCUCUUCUUCACAUAGCACCUGUCAUCAGUGGCUAAGGCUUCAGGCCCCUUCCUGACACUACGUAUGACUUUGUUCCUUGGAGAUGCCUGUUAUCCAGUCUACAUGCCCAUUGAUGUCAUGGACCUUGGCUUCUGGUUGUGUGCUCCUGUUGCCUUUGGGUACCUUGCUUUGGUGCACAGACCAAGUUGCAGAGUGGAGAUGAUAAUAUCUGACCUAUUACAGACUUGUUUGAGUAUUAAAGAAAAUCAAUACAAACGGAACUCCAAGAAAUAAAAGAUACUCCAUAAAUAUAAUAGAAUGGAUUUCCCUUUACACUGACAGGUAAAAUGAAACACUGAGUUUACUCUCAUACCCCCAUACCCCACCAGGAGGUCUACUUGCUGAGGGUCCCUUUCUGGAGCAGGUGUGCAGUUGUCUUUAUGAUGCUAUCAGAAGUUGUCUUGCAUUUAGAGGGGGACAAGGAGAGAGCUCUGCGAAUUUGAACACUGGAAGCCUUCCAUUCGGCCCCAAAUGCUGGCAGCCCUCUCACAAUCGAAACUUAUGUCAAAGUGGCCACAAGAUUGUUUAAUAGGAGACGGACAAAUGUAACUCCAUGUUUACUGCUAGAAACCAAAGCUUUGUGUGAAAUCUUGAAUUUAUGGGGAGGGAGGGUAGGAAAGCCUGUACUUGUCUGUUCUUUUCCUGAUCCCUUCCCCUUAUUCCUGAACUGCAGGAGACUGAGCCCCCUUGGGCUUUGGUGACCCCAUCCUGGGGUAUGUUUAUUUGAUGGUUGAUUUUGCUGUACUGGGUACUUCCUUUCCCAUUUUCUAAUCAUUUUGUAGCACACAUGCUGACUCUUUUCCCUUCCUUUCUACUUUCCCUGGGAAAAUACAAUGAAUAAAGACUUAUUGGUACUGAAAAAAAAAAAAAUUUAAAUGCCCAGAUGAUCUCACAGGUCUUUUCUACCUCUGAAACAGAGCGUGUGAUUCACAUAUAUCUGACAUGUGUAACAGGUUGUGAUGAUUUGCCUCAUUUGCUCAGCUGCAAAGUGGAUUAACCAGCAAUAAUAUGCUGAGAAUGUAAAGCCUGACCUCUGAUUAAAACAGAAGGUGGGAGGAGGUUGUUUCCCGGUUAAAACAAUGAACUAUGACCCAAGGCUCUAAGUUUCUAAUCACAGAUCUGUAACCUUGUAGUGACAUUGGGAGGCUUGCUAGAGGCCUUCAAAAGUACCCUUAAUUUGCACAUACUGGCUACCUGUCCUUAAAAACAUUAGAGUAAGUCCUUUUUCUGAGAACAAUGUGGGUGGUCAUUAAUGGUUAAUAAUGCUAAAGAGAGAACCAUCAGUAAAGACUCCUGAAUGCCCAUGAUGCUUUAAGCAAUAUUCAGGCUAUUACCUAACAAUGCUAGCAAAAUGCAAAUCCCCUAGUUUCCAGAAAAUCUUUUUUCUGGAAUGUAUUGCUUUUCCCCUUCAAGUUAAUCAUCAACCCUCUCCAGCACUGUCCAACAGACUUUCCACAACAAUGGAAACAGUCUCUAUUUACUCUGUCCAGUAGUAGCCAUCAUGUGUGGCUAUUGGUCACCUAUGUGGCUAAUGAGGCUUAGGAAUUCAAUUUUACAUUUAAUUUUAAUUAAUUGAAAUGAAUAUGAAAAUAGCUACAUGUGGCUAGUGGCUACUGUACCGGACAGCACAGCUUUAGCCAAUUCAAACCUCCUAAAAGCAAGAAAGUAAGGCUGAGAAGGCAGUAGCAAGUAAAUUAACAAUUCAUUAGCCAGUCUUUAUCUUCAAAAUAGUUUUUUUCUUCUUUUUUUCAAGUUGGUGGGUGUAGUUGACAUCAGGGUCUAAAGCAAGAGAGUACCAAUAAUAAUAAUUUUUCCCCACACUUCUGUAUUGUCUCCUUCUCUUUCACAGGUAUUAAAAUGAGAAGACACCUAAACUCAUUAACAAAAUAACUAAGCUAGACUGCUUUCAUCUAAACCAACACUUUUCUAUACAAACCUGUGAAAAUAAACCAGUAAGAUAAGGUUCAAGAGAAGCAUCAGCCUCACUCUGUCCUAGUCCCAGAUCACCCACAAGGAGUCCCACAGGCACGUCCUCUGCCAUGGUUUCUCUGUCAUAAGCUCUGCUGCUGCUCCCGGCUCCGUCCCCCCUAUAGCUCAGCGCCAAGCUGCAACCCCACGCACACAGAGCAAGAGGAGAGUGAAAAUCACAAACCAAAUGUGCUCUCUCCCUUUCCCUCCAGAUGAGAGUGUCUUUUCUUUUUCACCUCUUUCCUGUAAAUUCUGCGACAAGAAACUGCAGUACAUAAUACACAAAAACGCAGAGCUCUUCCCUCACUGACUUCCCACAGCAUUCGCAUGGCCCAAGAAGGACAUGAACGAAUGGAGGCUGUCUUCCUCAAUCUACGUCCUCACCCAUGAAGACUGCACUUACUCAAACUCUACACGGCAUAAAAAUACUACUUCCUGCACGUCUUUGUGUAUUAUCGCCCUGUGCUUCGUACAUAUUUUUUCCUGAACAGUGCAUUUUUCAGGUAUUCUAAGCUCUAACGGAAGAGGUGUUUGGUCACUGUAAUUCCCCUUGUGCACUGCCCGGCGCAGUGUCAGAUGCAGCUAGGGGAGUAACCAACGCUUCCUGAUAGUGGAUAAAAGACUCAAUGGGAUUUUUACAGCUCUUGGAUUUUAAGACACUUUUUUCAGUUCAACAUAUUCCAGAAAAUAAUUGUAUCAUUUCCCUUAUAGGAUUUGUUGAGAGGAGUGAAUUAGGCUUGGUUAUUUUGGAAAAGGACUUCAGAAUCAAUCAUGUAUUUUUCAAGUUGGAUGCCACGAUUAUUCAAAGGCUAGGAAAACAGUCCUGAACUCAGCCAGUAGCUGUACUAUUGGCACGAGAGGAAGACAGAUAGUGUGACAAAUAAAUACACUUUUGGUCUCACUUUUUUCAAAUGUGAAAUAGAAUAAAAAUCCUUAUUCAUGAAA